rnacentral:rRNA from 1 species
GACGUAGGGCGCGAGCGUUGUUCGGAUUUACUGGGCGUAAAGGGCGCGUAGGCGGCGCAACAAGUCACUUGUGAAAUCUCCGGGCUUAACCCGGAGCGGUCAAGUGAUACUGUCGUGCUAGAGUGCGGAAGGGGCUACUGGAAUUCUCGGUGUAGCGGUGAAAUGCGUAGAUAUCGAGAGGAACACCUGCGGCGAAGGCGGGUAGCUGGGCCGACACUGACGCUGAUGCGCGAAAGCCAGGGGAGCGAACGGG